rnacentral:rRNA from 1 species
UGAAUGGUGGUGGGGGCGGCGGGGGAUGGCGGAGGGGUCGAGUGUUGUCGGGGGUGUCUGGUCGGAAAGGGUUGGUAGUUGGGUUGUCGCGUCGUUUGGGAAAUUCCGGGGGUUAACUGCGGGCGGGCAGGCGAUACGGGCAAUACUUGAGUGCUGUAGGGGAGACUGGAAUUCCUGGUGUAGCGGUGGAAUGCGCAGAUAUCAGGAGGAACACCGAUGGCGAAGGCAGGUCUCUGGGCAGUAACUGACGCUGAGGAGCGAAAGCAUGGGUAGCGAACAGGAUUAGAUACCCCUGUAGUC